rfam:Ochrobactrum intermedium 229E Contig274, whole genome shotgun sequence.
CAGGCAUGCUGGGGUCCCGCCAGCGGCGCCUGGCGGCGGCUCGGCCUUCAUGAGCGCCCCCCCGACACCGGACGGGACAUGG